AGAGUUUGAUCAUGGCUCAGAUUGAACGCUGGCGGAAUGCUUUACACAUGCAAGUCGAACGGCAGCACGGGGGCAACCCUGGUGGCGAGUGGCGAACGGGUGAGUAAUACAUCGGAACGUGCCCAAUCGUGGGGGAUAACGUAGCGAAAGCUACGCUAAUACCGCAUACGAUCUACGGAUGAAAGCGGGGGAUCGCAAGACCUCGCGCGAAUGGAGCGGCCGAUGGCAGAUUAGGUAGUUGGUGGGGUAAAGGCUCACCAAGCCAACGAUCUGUAGCUGGUCUGAGAGGACGACCAGCCACACUGGGACUGAGACACGGCCCAGACUCCUACGGGAGGCAGCAGUGGGGAAUUUUGGACAAUGGGCGAAAGCCUGAUCCAGCCAUGCCGCGUGCGGGAAGAAGGCCUUCGGGUUGUAAACCGCUUUUGUCAGGGAAGAAACGGUCUGCGCUAAUACCGCGGACUAAUGACGGUACCUGAAGAAUAAGCACCGGCUAACUACGUG
rnacentral:rRNA from 1 species